UGGUGCUAGGGAUCUUGAAGACGGUGAAGAACCUGCGUAGCAUCGUGCUCAAGACCUCUGUGAUGGCGUGCACUGCUCUGUGUCCAUUCAUGCUUCGCAAAGGGGGAGCUAGAUGUAAGAUGUACGGCAACGGGAAUGGUGAGCUGGGACAACCAGAUCGAGUCCCUUCUCUACAUGUUGGUUUUGCUCCCUUGCACAACAGUAAAUGACAUAUCACAUUUUCAGAACGAGCACCGGGACAAAUUUGAAGUGCAAAGCCAUGAAGCCAAGUGCAAAGCCAUGAUGCCAG